rnacentral:tRNA from 1 species
UGCCUUUCCAUUAGGCUACAACCCAGUAGAAAGUAGUAUAAUGGUAAAACAAAGAAUUUUGAUUUCUUAAA